UCUCCUCAAGAAGUCAAAGCCACUCUCUAAAACUCCUCGAAGUCUAGCCACCUCUGCAGUUAGGUCUGAGACCUUUGUGAUAUUCUCAUGCGGCUGGGGAUGGGCUAAAGCUAAUACUUGCCCCUGUAAGUCUAAUACUCUGCCUGUCAAUCUCAAAAUACAUCCCUCAAGCUACUCAAUGCGUACCGACUGAUCAGUAAGCAUCUGAAAAAUAGAAGAAAUGUGAGGGAUCAGAGUCUGAUCUGAGUUACCUUGGGAUGUCGAUCUCUGAGCAAAGACUGA
rnacentral:lncRNA from 1 species